UAUGGAUUCCAUCUCUAUUGAUGUCCUCUAUUUGAUAAGACAUUCCUAUCAAACUUUUAUUUACUUCUUUAAGCAUCAUUUCCUUUAGUAAUUUGGAAAUAUUUAUAAUCCUUUUUGGCAAUCUUUGUUAUCUCUAAUAUCUGAACCCUUUCACAUGAAAUUUAUUUUGGCUACUUUUUAUUUUUCCAUUUUAUGGAUGAUAUUUUCUUAUUUCUUUCCAUGUUCUUUUUUAUUUUUUUAUUAGUUUUUGUUUGUUUUGGUUGAGAACUAGACGUUUUAGUUAAUUCUGUUGUCAGAAUUCUGGAUACUGAUCCAUUCUGGAAAGUGAGUGGUGGACUUGUUUGCUAAUUUGUUUGUUCAGUAAUUUGGUUGGAAUACUUUAGAGCAAUUUGUUUCCCAUACAAUAUGAAACCUCUUGUGUCACUCCUCAGAGGGCACAGGAUAGGGAGCAUACACAGUCAUCCUGGAACCACAGUGAUUUUAACAGGGCUCUCCUUGUAUCUAGUUUUGAUCUUUCUAUUAAGCCAGUCUUGCCUUUGUUGGAAUUACAGUCAACUAUUAGACUUCACCACUUGCUUGAUGGUUCCUUUAUUGUUUUCAGCAAUGACCUAGGGCAUGAAUCUGUUCACAAUUUGAUCCAAUUAAAUGCACACUCCUUUCAGGAGUAAUUUUUAUGCCUAGUCUUUGAGGUUUGUUCUGCCCCCAGGAGAGUUCUUAGGUAUUUCUUUGAGUCAGUCUCCUGACCUAGCUGGUCUGUGGUUAACUGUUGCCCCCAUAGAGUUAUCUUCUCCUUUGUAGUUAGCAAAUCUCUGCUGUUUUCAGGAGUCUUUUGGGGCUUGAAUUUCCUUCAAGUUCUUCUCAAAUAAAGUCAUGGAUGUUGGGGAGUGCUUUGGAAAUUUCUGUUGUUAUGGCCUCCCUCUCCCCCUAUAUGUGGUCUACCUAUGCCUAAUGAACAAGCUAGGGUACAAGUGAUUUGAAUUUCAUUAUUCUCAGACACACUGCUACACCUAAAUUAAAACCUCUAUCCCAUAAAUGAGGAGAUGAGUGGAAGAAGGGAAUCCCUUGCAUUUUCCUGGAAUUUAGCCUCUGCAAUGUAGAGUUGGGAAGUGUGUGAGAAAUGCUAAUUGUCUGCUCCUCUGAUGAAUAUAACUUGGGUGAG
rnacentral:lncRNA from 1 species